GUAGCUUCCUAUGGAGAGAUGAAGGAGGAGGAGCUAAAGAGAUGGGGUGGAAGAGGAGGAGCAGAAGGAAGAAGAAGGGAUGACGAGAGAAGGAUAGGAGAAGCUGGUGAAUGAGGAGAAGAUGAAGCGAGAAAGAGAGCAGUGGAUGGAAUAGGAGGUAGGGGUGGAAGAGGAGGAGUUGAAGAAGGAGGUGCCAGGAAGCGUCUGGAUGCCUCUCCCACUCUGGGCUACUUCAGAGUGGGAGAGAGACUCAGUGAAGGCUUCAGAGGAUGAGGAGAGAGUUCUCUUUGUGGACAGAGUGCUGACGGAGAUCAAAGGGCAGGCCGCCCUGGUUGCCAUGGAUGUGACUGGAAGUGUCAUCCGCCAGCAGCUGCUCCCGUUGACUAGCCCUGGCCUGGUGGGGGAGGUGCUGGUCUGGUGGGGGAGGUGCUGCUGCUUCAAGACAAUGUCAUGUGAAAAAUGUGGGGGUCACGUCGUGGAGAGGGCCCUCAGGCAGAUGCCCAGAUGGAGAGCUGAAUCUGAUGGUUACCAAUCUGAAAACAACAUCUAGGCCCUGAAAUGUCUUGUGUUAGGUAACUUCGUUAAGGUCAUAACACUUAUAAUGAAUCUUACUUGUUUAUUUCUCUUAGAAAAGAGCUCAUCGGAGGAGAAGUCAGCCACCACAGAAGGAGAUACAGAGACAGAAGGGGAGGAUUAGGGGAUACUGGAGGCCCAGGUUCUGUCACUGUGUCGUGUGGUGAGGGAGCACUGUGCAGAGUUCAUCAGACAAACACAUGGCUCCCAUGUAGCUCGCACGCUCAUACAUGUACUGGCAGGCUGCCUCGGUCCAGCCCACCCAGGUGUAAAGGACAGGAAUGUCACCACUCAGCUGACAUAUGUCGUUUUGGUGGGAACUGAAAACCCUGUCUACCUCUUUGAUGAACAAUGGCAAGGAUUCUGUCAUCAAGCUACAAUAUAUUGAACUAAGCUCCACAUUGCACUUCAUAGUACAUCUUCAUAGUAGAUAUUCAUAGUACAUACUAUUGGAGACAUUUUCUCACAGUGGCAUUACAUGACCUAUCUCUCCGUCAGUGUGUGUGACCCAUGCUGUGGCUAGUACAGUGCUCCAGCCCAUGUAGACGGUGUGUCACAGAAACCGGCCCAAGCUCUGCAAACCUCUCACCAAAGGCAUUGUGAAGUACCUGACAUCACUCAGCUUUGCUCCUGGAGUUAGGUGAUUAGAGGAAGUCUACAUGCUGGACAAAGACCAUUUCCCUGUUCGUUCAAAGUGUGGCAAGGACUUCACAAGAAAAUAUGAGCUUGUUGCACAUUAAACGAUAUACAUUGAAGACAGACCGUUUCAGUGCUGUAAAUGAGAGAAAACUUUCUGUUGCAUCUAACAUCACACAGGAGAACUUGCCACGGAGAGAAGCCACACAAAUGUACCCUAUGUGAGAAUGUUCAGCUGCCUCAAUAUUCUGAAAAACCACCACAGAGCUGACAUAGGUGAGCAACCUUACCCUUGUGUCCAAUGUGAGAAGAGGUUAAGCUGUUCUGGCGAUCUGUCGAAACACCUCCGUAUCCACACCGAGGAGAAAUACAAGUGUUCCAUAUGCGAAAAGAAUUUCCGACACUCGACCACUCUGAAAGGCCAUCAGAAAACCCACUCCGAGGUCAGACCCUUCUCUUGUGUGCAGUGUAGAAAGACCUUCAGCAUGUUCGAAAGCUCCAAAUGUCAUGAGAAAAUUCAUACUCACCAGAGAUUACAGCUUUGGUCACUGUAGGAUGGGUGUUAAAACUCCUAGUAAUCCGAAAUCACAUCAUUCACGAGGAACCAUUUCACUGUGGUGAGUGUCGCAAGACCUUCACUAGAAAUGACACUUUCAAGAAACACCUCUACUCUGGUGCUGAAGAGUACAAAUGCUCAAAUUGCGUGAAAACACUAAGCUCUGCCAGGAAAUUCAAACUCCAUGUCCGAAAUCACCAGGGGGAAAGAACGAUAUACGAUUGCCCCGACUGUGAGAAGAGUUUCAGUUCAGUAGCGUAUUUAAAGAAGGACCAACAGCUCCACACUGGGAAGAAGCCCUGAAGAGUCCUUCUUCUACCUUGGGCAGCUGGGCCACACCGGAGAAGGGGCACACGUCUGUACCCAGUGUGGGAAGACCUUUGCCCAGCUUAUUCACCUCAGAAGGCAUGAGAAGAUCCACUCUGGGGAGAAGCCCCACCAGUGUGGUGUAUGUGGUAAGGGUUUAGGCAGGAGAGAUCAUCUGAAAAGCCAUCUGCAAACUCAUGUAGAAAAAGAGGGAUCGUUUGUCACAAGAUGUGAUUGAAUACUGUUAAGUUUUUGUUUUUGUCAACCAGUGUUUCCUGAAAAUAUGAUUGAUUUGACUGCACUUUGUAUGGUAACAUUUAUUUUGAAGGAACUAUUUAUUUACAAAGAAAUCUUGACUGAUUCAUGCAUUAUAUUUGUCAAAUCUGCACUUUUUCCAAAAGCCAUGUCAUGCUUAUUUUUGUUUUUCAUUGGGAAUCAAUACAUUUUUUGGUUAAUCAAUUUAACUUCCUCUAUUGUCUCUAGUGAUGUGCUCAGUCCGUACGGACUCAGGAGAGACGAAGGUUGAAAGUCAUGCGUCCUCCGAUACACAACCCA